UAUAUUUUUAUUACAGUUAUAAUGUAUGAUCGGAGAGUGAAUUACAUUGCAUUUUCAUAAUACUCUGCGCAGUGCCCUUGACCCAUUGUUGGGGUAGAUAUAUGUAAAGGUAAUUUAUGGAAUAUUGAUUAUUGAUGAACUAACCGUAUUUAUAAACCAGAUGAAUAAUCUGUGGAAUUCAUUGUAUUUUUAGCUAUUCAAAAUAGUAAGAUAUAUGUACAUGUAAUAAGUCUAGGUUUAGUGACGAUCUAAGUUUAGGUUUUGUGACGGUCUAAGUUUAGGUUAAGUAAAUGAUCAAAGUUAAGGUUUAGUGAAGGUCUAAGUUUAGAUGAAGUAAAUGAUCAAAGUUAAGGUUUAGUGAAUGGUCAAAGUUUAGGUUUAGUGAAGGUCUAAGUUUAGGUUAAGUAAAUGGUCAAAGUUUAGGUUUAGUGAAGGUCUAAGUUUAGCUUAAGUAAAUGGUCAAAGUUUAGGUUUAGUGAAGGUCUAAGUUAGGUACAGUAAAUGGUCAAAGUUAAGGUUUAGUGAAGGUCUAAGUUUAGGUUAAGUAAAUGGUCAAAGUUAAGGUUUAGUGAAGGUCUAAAUUUAGGUUAAAUAAAUGGUCAAAGUUUAGGUUUAGUGAAGGUCUAAGUUUAGGUUAAGUAAAUGGUCAAAGUUUAGGUUUAGUGAAGGUCUAAGUUUAGGUUAAGUAAAUGGUCACAGUUUAGGUUUAGUGAAGGUCUAAGUUUAGGUUGAAUAAAUGGUCAAAGUUCAGGUUUAGUGAAGGUCUAAGUUUAGGUUAAGUAAAUGGUCAAAGUUUAGGUUUAGUGAAGGUAUAAGUUUAGGUUGAGUAAAUGGUCAAAGUUUAAGUUUAAUGAAGGUCUAUGUCCAGAUUGAAUAAUGUCCAUUCAAACUAAUUUAGUUAUAUGUUAUUUUAUGUUUCAUUGUAGGGUAUUAACGUACCUAUCAUGAUGCACGUGUAUUCAUUGACCUUAUUGAUAACCGGAAAUGAAAAGCAAAUACAUGUAUAGAAUAACGCGUGCGUGUUUGAAUUCGAAUAAAAUAAAUUACAUGUAUUCAUCGCUGACAAUAUAAGCCUUUAAAUGGAACGCCAUUGUGACGUCACAGCGGUCACUAGUGAAUAUAAUACGUAAAUAUGUAUAUCCUAUGCAGGCUAAUGGUAUGUACUUAACUUGGAGUUGACCACAUGUACACUGGACUACUAAAUUCAUACAAUUAUACACAGAAUACAAUAUUAUAUGAAAAUAUGCAAAUUAUUUAUAUUACAUGUAUCUUAUUUAGAUUUUUUUUCUUCUUUCUUUAUUUUUAUAAUAAAAUCUAGCUUUUUCCUACAAUUUUUUAAAAGAAAUAAAACCUUUGUGAAUAUCUGAUAAUACUCCAAAUAUCUGCGCUUGUCAAGUUUUCUCUUUUUAUUUGCAAUUUUUACUAAAAUUGACGAUAUGGCAACAAAACAGAAUAGUUUCGAGUUAUCCUCCUUACAAUGGUUAACGGUACAGUAGACAACACGCCUUGUUUCAUUAAUCGUUUUAUUAAAAGAAAUUAACAUUAAAUAUUUGCACUUGAAGAAAAUGUUUCACGGGUUUUGUAUUUGUUUCCUUAAAUGUAUAAAGAAAUUCAAUACUAUUUAUUUAAGCAUUGAACUGUUUUAAUGGGCUGAUAAUGCCAACUGGACAAAGCCAAAUUUGACAAGAAGUAUUAGUGCGUUUCACUAAAUUUGCCUUUGUCCAGUUGGUAUUAUCAGCCCAUAACUGCCAACUGAAAGCUGUUAAAUGUUUAUAUUUAACACUUGUGAUUUUAAAACAAAAAAGAUCACUUUAAUGAACGGAAUUCAAGUUUCCCCGAAAUCCUCGACUGUGAGCCUGUUAACAGCUCUACCAUAUGUUUCCGCGUAAAACAUAGUGCGGUGUGCUUCAUCUGACACAUCAUUAAUGCGCCGGCUGUCAGUUUAUGAAAUGGUAAUGCAAAAACUGCUGUUGGUAAGGUUAUAUACUGACAAUGUCAUAGAGUGUCAAUAUCAUGCAGUUUAGGGGUUAAAUAGAUACAACUUUCUACAUCGGUUGAAUCUCAUUUCUGUUAAUCAUUUUAAAUAUGUUUUAUCGCCUCAUGUUUACACAAUAAACUGUGAAACUCUU